UUUCCAUCUCUAAGAUAUCUUUCUUUAGACUAUUGUUCAUUGGGAGGAAGACUUUUCGGUAAUGGUACCAAAUUGAGCAACCUAGUGCACUUGAGUCUUGUCGAAAUCGAGUUCAAUGGUGACUUCAUGAGAUCUAUGGUUGCUUUUCCAUCCCUAAGAUUUCUUGAUUUGGGCUAUGCUGGCAUAACAGGAAGACUUUUUGGUAAUGUAGUUCCCAGUAUACCUAACUUGCAAGUCCUCAUCUUGAACGAAAAUCAUUUUAGUGGACCUAUACCGAUUGAAGGUAGGCA